AGAGAAGAAAAGGAAGGUUCUGGCUGUGCCAGAAAUCGUUGAGAAAAGGAAUUUCUCAGAGGUGAAGAUCAAGUGCCUGAGAAAAAUAUUUGCCCAGAAGACACUUCAAAAGGCAAGGAGAGGCGUCACCUGCAUGAAGGAUCUGAUUCAUGAGAUCUGUAUUGUUAAAAAACAAAAACACUUCAAAGAAGCAAAUAACUUCCCAGGGCUAUUCAAAUUAUCUUCCCAACGAGGUGGAAUGAAGAAGACGACCACUCAUUUUGUAGAAAGUAGAGAUACUAGUAACAGGGAAGACCAGAUUAACAGGCUCAUUAGAAGGAUGAAC
rnacentral:lncRNA from 1 species